AGAAAACACUAUGUUUAAGGUAGUCAGGAUGGGAAUGCAGACAGCUUACAGAAAGUACCAAGACCAGAAUAACACCGAGCAAGAAAAUCAUUGCCAGUUCAAAAUUCAGGCUGAGUUGCUCUUGAAUGCACAAUAGUGGGCCUGGGUACUAAGGGAGAAGCUGCAAGUUUUGUUUCUUCUGUUGUCCUGGAUGUAUGUCUAGAAGGAAUUGCGACUGAUUUUAGAGUGAGCCACAUAAUAGAUCCUUUGAGAGAAGCAGUGGAGGUGGUGUGGAAGGUCAUUGACUCAGUUUCUGUACAUGCCAAGAGGAUGCAGGCAAAUGGUGGUGUGAAUUCAUGCAAGUCAAAGACACCUGAUAACAAGACACAAGAGGGCAGCUUAAAAACAGGAGGAAGCAGCAAGAUUCUGACACUUCCUACAGAAAG